UACGGAGGAUCCAAACGUUAUCCGGAAUCAUUGGGUUUAAAGGGUCCGUAGGCGGACAAUUAAGUCAGUGGUGAAAGUCUUCCGCUCAACGGGAGAACUACCAUUGAUACUGAUUGUCUUGAGUUAUUAUGAAGUGGUUAGAAUGAGUAAUGUAUCUGUGAAAUGCAUAGAUAUUACUCAAAAUACCGAUUGCGAAGGCAGAUCACUAAUAAUACACUGACGCUGAUGGACGAAAGCGUAGGUAGCGAACAGG
rnacentral:misc_RNA from 1 species